rnacentral:rRNA from 1 species
UAGGGAAUAUUAGAAAUGGACGAACGUCUGAUCUAGCAACACCGCGUGUGCGAAGAAGGCCUUCGGGUCGUAAAGCACUUUUUGGAAGGAAUAGGAAGGAAUGUACUUCCAGAAUAAGUCUCGGCUAACUACGUGCCAGCAGCCGCGGUAACACGUAGGAGGCAAACGUUAUCCGGAUUUACUGGGCGUAAAGCGCGUGUAGGUGGUUCUGUAAGUAGGGCGUGAAAGCUCCUGGCUCAACUGGGAGAGGCCGUUCUAAACUGCAGAGCUAGAGGAUAGUAGAGGGAGGUGGAAUUCCGGGUGUAGCGGUUGAAUGCGCAGAUAUCCGGAGGAACACCAGUGGCGAAAGCGGCCUCCUGGCUCAUAACUGACGCUCAGACGCGAAAGCUAGGGUAGCAAACG